AUGAACUGUUGCUUUUUAUAGCAACACCAGCUUGUUAUAAAUGUGACUCCAAGUAUUCUGUGUUGCAAUAAACAAAAACACGACGAUUACUAAGGUGGAAGAAGUUUCUCCAGGACUGCAGCAAGCGGACGAAAAAAUUUACGCACUACUUAACGAGUAAGCAACAGAGGAACAGAGAGCUAGCAGAUUUCGACAUGGCAAGUCAUAUGAAGAUAUCCGUCCUGCACCUUUUGGUCGCAGUUUUGUUACUCUGUGAAGUUAUCGGACAACGUUCAUAUUCACGCAGAACUUACAGAAGGCCUGGAGCGAGGACGAGGUACAGUUCUGGCACGAUCAGGAGAAAAGGUAUUGCACCACAGUCGAUCCAUAAAUUCUACUGAUCUGAAGCUUUCUUGAUGCGUUCUUAACAAUUUUGAACGCAACACAAGCCAAAAUUUCCUACAACGUUUUAAGCUCGAGACGUCGUUUUCUAGGACACUUUUCGAGUUUAGAAUUUCGUCGAUUAAAAAAACAAAGUACAUUUGUUUCUACUUUGUCUUGUUCGUGGCAGCGUUUUUUCGACUUGACGCAAACGGCAGUGAAAAUGUAAGACCAAAUUAAAGUACGCAUUUGUUUAACCUUUGCCUGCAACGCCACAUUUAUCGAUUUGUCCUCAAAAAUUCAUUUUUUGUCUGGAACGUGGUUCGAAAACACUUGGAGUUUGAGUCACGACGACAUCGGAUUUCAGAGUAAAAAGCAAGAAUUCUGUCGAGGCCUGCAAGUUAAUAGCGAAAAUCUUCUGCCUGGUCAAAAAGAAACGAAAGUUUCACUAUUUUCCAAUUUCGUUGCCUUUUUCGAUGGUAGAUGUUUACAAGCAUUUUGGCAGUUUUAAACAUGAAACAAAUCAGACCGCAAGGUACUCCAUUGUCUUUGAAGGAAACGUUUAAUUCGCAAUGUUUUACACCAUAUGCCACUCAGGAAGUCGAAUAAGGACCUCAUGAAAAAUACCUGAAGCUCGUUUCAUCACUAUUUGUUUUAAAAUGAGAUUUCAUCGUUUGAGAGGACGGUAAAGGCUUAAUGCGUAACACGUGAAGAGAGUAAAACUAAGCGUGUGACGCAUGAAAAACAUCCAAAAGAGAUGAGUUAUCGAUGCGUAAAUUUAUGAAAAAUCACUUUUCACGGUAGUUUAACUGAGUCUAUGGGAUUUGUGGUUGAACCAGUAUCACAGCACCCCCGGCUUCGCUACCCGUAGAGAAUUAUCUAAGAAUUUAUUGGAUGCAGUUUAAGCAUGAUUGCAAUCUUUAUCGCCACUUAAGAUUUCCGUCUUUUAAUAUAAUCCACCCGAGUCAAAUAGCUUGGC